rnacentral:rRNA from 1 species
CAUAGCGACUAUCGUGGCAUAUCAAUAAGCGGAGGAAAAGAAACUAACAAGGAUUCCCCUAGUAACGGCGAGUGAAGCGGGAAGAGCUCAAAUUUGAAAUCUUAAAGGGUUUCCCUUUACGAAUUGUAGUUUAAAGAAGUGUUUUCUGUUGGAGUUUCGGUAAAAGUUCUUUGGAAUAGGACAUCAUAGAGGGUGAGAAUCCCGUAUUUGACCAGUUACUUUCCAGCUGUGUGAUACACUUUCAAAGAGUCGGAUUGUUUGGGAAUGCAGUCCAAAAUGGGUGGUAAAUUUCAUCUAAAGCUAAAUAUUGGCGAGAGACCGAUAGCGAACAAGUACCGUGAGGGAAAGAUGAAAAGAACUUUGAAAAGAGAGUUAAACAGUACGUGAAAUUGUCAAAAGGGAAGCGUUUGACACCAGUGUUGUUUUUCCGAAAAUCAAUUAAAAAUUGAUUCAUGCCAGGUUGUAUUGACCUUAUCAGCUUGCAAUUUGGUUUUGGGUCUCUUUUUGAUGCACUUUUCGGUUAACAAGUCAACAUCAAUUUCCUUUGCUGUAAAAGGGUAAGAGGAAGGUGGCUUCAAUUUCGGUUGAAGUGUUUAUAGCCUUUUAUCUCUGCAGUCGGGGAGAUUGAGGUCUGCAGCGUAGAUCCUUCGGGGCUAGAUACAUUUAUGCUAAGUUAUAGCUUUUCAUAGACAACUUGUUGACUAUGUUUAGUCAUGUAGCUUACUCGUAAGUGCUAUUUUACCUACGCUUAGGAUGUUGAUAGUCACAGCGUGUAC